rnacentral:lncRNA from 1 species
CUUUAACUACUUUUGGCCAUGUUAAUGACUGCCUUUGCUGCAGUCAAUAACAAUUAUUAUUAUUAUUUAAUAUGUAAUUCCUGGCCAUUCGAUAAAAAUUUGAAUAUUUAGUUUUGAGAUAUUGGUGGAAAAGUUGGCCGUUAUUGUCAUAUUUUAAAUUAGCUUUGAUAAUCUAAUGUAUCAAUUAAUUCCAGCAGUUCCCACCCCUGGGCCUUUGCAGCUUUUCCUAAUCACGGGGGUGGGGCUAUUGCCGAUAUUUUUUAGCCCUGCCCAGGGUGAGGAUUUUGACAUUUUCCAUCAUGGGGGAUUUGGUAGAUUUGCUGGAAAACUGAUAUUUAAUUUGAUUGCAAAUGGCUUGUGUACAUAGCCAUUUUCUUCCCAGAAAUGGCUAAUACCUCGGGGGGAUGGGCACUGCUGGAAUUGACUGAUACAUAAUUAACAAUCGCCAUUUUGAUUGGUUGUUAUUUUUGUGCAUCCCAAUCACUGUCCACUUUUUAUUGACUUCAGUGACAGGCUUACCCUGCGAGCAAAGUCCUCUCGUAUUUCUUCUCAGCACAAGAGAUACUCUGCAGAACUUGUGUAUAUUCUUUGUGGAGCCGACAAUCCAAAAACUUGGAUAAUUAUGAGUAAUUUCAGGUUUGAUACCAGUUUUAUAACCGGUUUUGAUCCAAACCGGAAACUAUUUAUUAAAUCUUCUUCUGGGAAAUAGGCAGUUGCUUAGCAACCUUCGCGCAUGCUCAAAUGAAUUUAUACACAAGUUCUGCAGAGUCUCUCUUGCUUCUCCAUGCUGUGCCGAGAAGAAAUAUGAGAGGACUUUGCUCACAUGGUAUAACAGGCUCUAUUUCAAGCAUCGAGCCUGACAUGCAAGCUACCUUCAAAGGGCCUAUUUGGCAACUUUUGUUGUGGUUACCCAGCCUGAGGCAAAAGUAAUAAAUUAUGAAUUGUUAUAAAUGUUCUGUGAAGUGCACAUAUAUUUCCUGCAGUUAGGGACCAGUCCUUAUUUAUGGAAGAGGGGGGGGAGGGGGCAAAAGGUGGGGACAUGACCCCAUGAGUAUAAAUAA